rnacentral:lncRNA from 1 species
CAAGUUCUGCUGUGGAGACUGAAUGGUCCAGGAUGCCUUCACUUACUGAUAGUGGCGAGGCUGUUGGUCUCAAGUGGCCUCAGCUGGGUGCUAUAAUCUCUUACCUGGAUUCUUUAGCCCUUGUGAAAAUAUUGUCAUGUGUGGAUAGUUGUUCAAAUUGAUGUUUUGGAAGGCGACAAGUAUCACUCUCCCUGUAUUGCUUCAUAGAGGUUUAGGUAUCAAGGAGGUCUGUAUGGCAUGUCUAAUACCUUGGAAGAAAAUUGCCCUGUGUACUAAAAGAAAACAAAGAUUCAAUUCCUGCUGUAUCAUAAAAGUCUAAAGAUGCAUCUUCUACAACCCUAGGAACAUUCCAGCAAACCUGUCCAAAAUGUGCACCAGAAGGAGACAUUGUCUUAAUUACACUUGAUAAUUUUAAUAUCAAAAUUCAACCAAAUAAAAUACAGCAGUA